rnacentral:rRNA from 1 species
UACAGAGGUCUCAAGCGUUGUUCGGAUUCAUUGGGCGUAAAGGGUGCGUAGGUGGCGCCGUAAGUCGGGUGUGAAAUUUCGGAGCUUAACUCCUAAACUGCAUUCGAUACUGCCGUGCUCGAGGACUGGAGAGGAGACUGGAAUUUACGGUGUAGCGGUGAAAUGCGUAGAUAUCGUAAGGAAGGCCAGUGGCGAAGGCGGGUCUCUGGACAGUUCCUGACGCUGAGGCACGAAGGUCAGGGGAGCAAACGGG